GCAGCUAACGCACUAAGUAGACCGCCUGGGGAGUACGGCCGCAAGGUUAAAACUCAAAUGAAUUGACGGGGGCCCGCACAAGCGGUGGAGCAUGUGGUUUAAUUCGACGCAACGCGAAGAACCUUACCUGGCCUUGACAUGCAGAGAACUUUCCAGAGAUGGAUUGGUGCCUUCGGGAACUCUGACACAGGUGCUGUAUGGCCGUCGUCAGCUCGUGUCGUGAGAUGUUGGGUUAAGUCCCGUAACGAGCGCAACCCCUAUCCCUAGUUGCUAGCAGUUCGGCUGAGAACUCUAGGGAGACUGCCGGUGACAAACCGGAGGAAGGUGGGGAUGACGUCAGGUCAUCAUGGCCCUUACGGCCAGGGCUACACACGUGCUACAAUGGUGCGUACAGAGGGCUGCAAACCCGCGAGGGGGAGCUAAUCUCACAAAACGCAUCGUAGUCCGGAUCGGAGUCUGCAACUCGACUCCGUGAAGUCGGAAUCGCUAGUAAUCGCGAAUCAGAAUGUCGCGGUGAAUACGUUCCCGGGCCUUGUACACACCGCCCGUCACACCAUGGGAGUGGAUUGCACCAGAAGUGGUUAGUCUAACCUUCGGGA
rnacentral:rRNA from 1 species